rnacentral:misc_RNA from 1 species
GGAAGAGUGAAAUUCACGCCAUUGAACCACCGAUUCUACAUUGAAUUGCUCUCCUCCCCUCCCCUCCUCCCUGCUCACCACCAAACCCUAGAGAAAUUCCUCUUUUCCCGAAACCCUAAUCCUAGAUCGGGGCCGAGGGCUUCUAGUUCGGUUUUUGUGGUUUAAGUGACUAGAUUUGGGGUUGGCGAUGGAGCCCCGGGUGGGGAACAAGUUCCGGCUGGGCCGGAAGAUCGGGAGUGGCUCUUUCGGCGAGAUCUAUCUAGGAACGAAUAUUCAGACGAACGAGGAGGUUGCGAUUAAGCUUGAAAAUGUCAAGACGAAGCAUCCCCAGUUGCUAUAUGAAUCAAAGCUCUACAGGAUCUUACAAGGAGGAACUGGAAUUCCCAAUGUCAGAUGGUUCGGUGUUGAAGGAGAUUACAAUGU